AUGGCCUACACGUUCCGGAUCCACUGUCGCGCCUCCGACGACCUCACUCUCGCCCUCGUCGACGGCGAAGUCAUCCUCGCCGCCGCCGACCCCAGCGACGACCGCCAGCGCUGGCAGAAGGACGUGAUGUACGUCGGCGGCGUCAAGGACGAGGCCGGCAACCCGGCGUUCGCUCUCGUCAACAAGGCCACCGGAGAUGCGCUGAAGCACUCCCUCGGCUACAAUCUGCCCGUCAGAGCCAUCCGGUUCAACCGGGGGUACCUCGACGAGUCGGUCAUGUGGGCGGAGACCGGGGACGUGGGCGGAGGCUACCGGCUAAUCCACAUGGUCAAUAACAUGGAUUGCAUAUUUGACGCAGAGAAGGCGAUCCCGCAGUUCGGCGGCGCGCGUGACGGCACGCGGCUCAUCCUCUUCCGCUGGAACCACGACCACAACUAGCUCUGGCAGAUCGCCGACGCGCCGGCAGGGGGUGGACCGCCUGUGCGGGUCUCGUCCGAGUGCAACGACAAGCUCAGCCUCGCCAUCCGCGACGUUGCCGCCAUCCUCGCGCGCACCGACCUGGACGACGACACACAUGCUUGGGUGCGGAGCUUCCGGAACACCGGGCGCGUGACGGACGAGGAGGGGCGCAGCUCGUUCGCGCUGGUGAACAAGGCCACCGGGAAGGCACUGAGGCUGCCACGGCGACCAGAAGGUUGAAGUCGUCAGCUACAGCCUGGACUCGGUGGACGUCGCGCUGCUGUGGACGACGAGCGGCGAUCUUAG
rnacentral:rRNA from 1 species